rnacentral:rRNA from 1 species
UCGAGAAUCUUUCGCAAUGGGCGAAAGCCUGACGAAGCGACGCUGCGUGAGCGAUGAAGGCCUUCGGGUCGUAAAGCUCUUUCGCGUAGGAACAAGGAAAGGCCGUGAAUAACGGCAAAACUUGAGUGUACUACGAUAAGAAGCACCGGCUAACUCCGUGCCAGCAGCUGCGGUAAUACGGAGGGUGCAAGCAUUAAUCGGAAUUAUUGGGCGUAAAGGGCGCGUAGGCGGGUAAGUAAGUCAGAUGUGAAAUUCCGGGACUCAAUUCCGGAGCUGCAUUUGAAACUCCUUGUCUUGAGGAUUGGCGGAGAGAACGGAAUUCCACGUGUAGCGGUGAAAUGCGUAGAUAUGUGGAAGAACACCGGUGGCGAAAGCGGUUCUCUAGCUAAUAACUGACGCUGAGGCGCGAGAGCAAGGGGAUCAAACAGGAUUAGAUACCCCCGUAGUCC